GCCAAGCUUGCUUGGUGGAUCAGUGGCGAACGGGUGAGUAACACGUGAGCAACCUGCCCUGGACUCUGGGAUAAGCGCUGGAAACGGCGUCUAAUACUGGAUAUGAGCUCUCAUCGCAUGGUGGGGGUUGGAAAGAUUUUUCGGUCUGGGAUGGGCUCGCGGCCUAUCAGCUUGUUGGUGAGGUAAUGGCUCACCAAGGCGUCGACGGGUAGCCGGCCUGAGAGGGUGACCGGCCACACUGGGACUGAGACACGGCCCAGACUCCUACGGGAGGCAGCAGUGGGGAAUAUUGCACAAUGGGCGGAAGCCUGAUGCAGCAACGCCGCGUGAGGGAUGACGGCCUUCGGGUUGUAAACCUCUUUUAGCAGGGAAGAAGCGAGAGUGACGGUACCUGCAGAAAAAGCGCCGGCUAACUACGUGCCAGCAGCCGCGGUAAUACGUAGGGCGCAAGCGUUAUCCGGAAUUAUUGGGCGUAAAGAGCUCGUAGGCGGUUUGUCGCGUCUGCUGUGAAAUCCCGAGGCUCAACCUCGGGCCUGCAGUGGGUACGGGCAGACUAGAGUGCGGUAGGGGAGAUUGGAAUUCCUGGUGUAGCGGUGGAAUGCGCAGAUAUCAGGAGGAACACCGAUGGCGAAGGCAGAUCUCUGGGCCGUAACUGACGCUGAGGAGCGAAAGGGUGGGGAGCAAACAGGCUUAGAUACCCUGGUAGUCCACCCCGUAAACGUUGGGAACUAGUUGUGGGGACCAUUCCACGGUUUCCGUGACGCAGCUAACGCAUUAAGUUCCCCGCCUGGGGAGUACGGCCGCAAGGCUAAAACUCAAAGGAAUUGACGGGGACCCGCACAAGCGGCGGAGCAUGCGGAUUAAUUYSRWKSAACGCGAAGAACCUUACCAAGGCUUGACAUACACCAGAACACCGUAGAAAUACGGGACUCUUUGGACACUGGUGAACAGGUGGUGCAUGGUUGUCGUCAGCUCGUGUCGUGAGAUGUUGGGUUAAGUCCCGCAACGAGCGCAACCCUCGUUCUAUGUUGCCAGCACGUAAUGGUGGGAACUCAUGGGAUACUGCCGGGGUCAACUCGGAGGAAGGUGGGGAUGACGUCAAAUCAUCAUGCCCCUUAUGUCUUGGGCUUCACGCAUGCUACAAUGGCCGGUACAAAGGGCUGCAAUACCGUGAGGUGGAGCGAAUCCCAAAAAGCCGGUCCCAGUUCGGAUUGAGGUCUGCAACUCGACCUCAUGAAGUCGGAGUCGCUAGUAAUCGCAGAUCAGCAACGCUGCGGUGAAUACGUUCCCGGGUCUUGUACACACCGCCCGUCAAGUCAUGAAAGUCGGUAACACCUGAAGCCGGUGGCCCAACCCUUGUGGA
rnacentral:rRNA from 1 species